CAACAAAGUUGUCAAAUUAGAAUGGCGAAUACUUUAGAUAAAAGUUGGCGAUGGUAGUUGUGCAAUUUUCCAUCCCUCAAUUUUUUUCUCUUUGAAGAUGGCCUCGAACAAAUUGCUACAUU